UAUAUACCGGUCGCACCAGUCGACGUCAUUCAGUACGAGUUCUUUGCAUCCCGAGUGCAGUUGGGGUUGACAUUAUAAUCAAGCAACCUCGUAACGAUAUUAUUAUUACAAUCAAGUCAUCCAGUACUUAACCUUAUUAUUACAAUUCAGUAUAUUCGCAACCACGUGUGUGUAGUCUUAGAGCUGAAGGGUGGCUGAACGAUCGAGAUUUUAGAAAUGGCGCGCAAUAUCUCUGCAUUAUUAUUACUGGCCAUCAUCACGAUGAUUGAAGCUCAAAGGCCAUCCUACGCCGGAUUUCGACCCAUUGGAUUCCCAGCAGUUCAAAGUGAAAUCGAUCUAAUUUCUAAUCGAUUUGGCGAAGACGCUCCAGUACCAAUCGAAACUAAGGGCGAUCGAAACUUGAUAAAUCGAAUCGAGAGUGUUCCUGUAGACUACAGACCUUUUUGGUACAUCAACUGGCAGCAAUAUGACGCCUUGAGGAACAAACCUCAGACCUGGCCAUUGAAACCAAACAGCUUCAUUGAUAAA